CACGUAGGGUGCGAGCGUUGUCCGGAAUUAUUGGGCGUAAAGAGCGUGUAGGCGGCCUGGUAGGUCUGCUGUGAAAACUCGAGGCUCAACCUCGAGAUGUCGGCGGAAACCAUCUGGCUAGAGUCCGGAAGAGGAGAGUGGAAUUCCUGGUGUAGCGGUGAAAUGCGCAGAUAUCAGGAAGAACACCUAUGGCGAAGGCAGCUCUCUGGGACGGUACUGACGCUGAGACGCGAAAGCGUGGGGAGCGAACAGG
rnacentral:rRNA from 1 species